UUUCCGUAGGUGAACCUGCGGAAGGAUCAUUAAUAAAUUUUUUUUUGAAAUAAAAAAAAAAUAAUAAUCAUCCUACCCUUUGUGAAUUUGUUUUGUUGAAUAAUUUUUUAAAAUUAUCUAUUGUCUAUCCAAGUUGGAAAGUUGUAAAAGACUGAAGACUUGGAGCGGCAUAAAUAAAUUUAAAGACUUUUUCUAAAAUUAAACUUUUGUAUUCAUUUGUCUAAAAUAAUUUUUAUAAUAUAUAAAGACAACUUUUGACAAUGGAUCUCUUGGUUCUCGCAACGAUGAAGAACGCAGCAAAAUGCGAUAAGUAAUGUGAAUUGCAGAAUACGUGAAUCAUCGAAUCUUCGAACGCAUAUUGCACUUUUUUAGUUUACUAAAAAAGUAUGUCUGUUUGAGUAUCAGUAAAAUAUUCUCAUAAAAUUUUUAAUUUUAUGGUUAUGAGUGUUUUACAACGAUAAACAAGUUGUUUCACUUUAAAUUGAAUUUUUUGAAGAAAUUCUUAAUUCAAAUUAAAUUUGGAUAAAAUUUUCCCGUAAAAAGGAAUAACUAUACAAGUUUAAUAAGAAUUUAGUGAUUUCUUUUAUGAAAAGGAAAUUUAUUAAAUAACUUGAUCUCAAAUCAGAUAAGAGUACCCGCUGAACUUAAGCAUAUCAAUAAGCGGAGGAAAAGAAACUAACAAGGAUUCCCCUAGUAACGGCGAGUGAAGCGGGAAGAGCUCAAAUUUGAAAUCUUAAAGGGUUUCCCUUUACGAAUUGUAGUUUAAAGAAGUGUUUUCUGUUGAGGUUUUGGUAAAAGUUCUUUGGAAUAGGACUCAUCGAGGGUGAGAAUCCCGUAUUUGACCUUUACUUUCAACUUUGUGAUACACUUUCAAAGAGUCGGAUUGUUUGGGAAUGCAGUCCAAAAUGGGUGGUAAAUUUCAUCUAAAGCUAAAUAUUGGCGAGAGACCGAUAGCGAACAAGUACCGUGAGGGAAAGAUGAAAAGAACUUUGAAAAGAGAGUUAAACAGUACGUGAAAUUGUCAAAAGGGAAGCGUUUGACACCAGUGUUGUUUUUCUGAAAAUCAAUUAAAGAACUGUUUAUGCUAAGUUGUUUAGACUUUAUCAGCUAACUGUUUAGUUUUGAGCUUUCUUUAAUGCACUUUUCAGUUAACAAGUCAACAUCAAUUUCUUUUGCUGUAAAAAAGCUUGAGGAAGGUGGCUUGAGAUUCGUCUUAAGUGUUUAUAGCCUCUUGCCUAUGCAGUCGGAGUGAUUGAGGUCUGCAGCGUAGAUCCUUCGGGGCUAAAUGCAUUUGUGCUAAGUUAUAGCAUUUUAUAGACAACUUGUUGACUAUGAUUUGUCUUGUAGCUUACUCGCUUAUGUUAUUU
rnacentral:misc_RNA from 1 species